CAACUACUCCCUCUGUCCCAAAUUUCUUGUCUUAGAUUUGUCUAGAUACGGAUGUAUCUAAUACUAAAAUGUGACUUGANAUACUAAAAUGUGACUUGAUACAUCCGUAUCUAGACAAAUCUAAGACAAGAAUUUUGGGACAGAGGGAGUACUUU
rnacentral:pre_miRNA from 1 species